rnacentral:rRNA from 1 species
GAGUUUGAUCCUGGCUCAGGACGAACGCUGGCGGCGUGCUUAACACAUGCAAGUCGAGCGAGGUCCAUCCAGUCGCAAGACUGGGGAAGACCUAGCGGCGAACGGGUGAGUAACACGUGAGCAACCUGCCCCGAAGACUGGGAUAACACCGGGAAACCGGUGCUAAUACCGGAUGUCCUCCCCUGGUCGCAUGGCCUAAGGAGGAAAGGAAUUUUGCUUUGGGAGGGGUUCGUGGGCUAUCAGCUU